rnacentral:lncRNA from 10 species
AGUAGCAUUGGCAAUUGUUGUCCUUAGCAGCAGCCGACAAGGCGGAAUUGGAAUGGUGCUGCUCCUGACUACCUCUACUCCACGCUAGGCUUAGGGGCUGGAGUGACCCAAGCCCUCAGGGGGUGAGAACCUCCAGGAUACCUCUUCUCUGUCUCCAUGCUCUUCAAUUGCUGUUUUAUUUCUACAGUUGGAUUUUUUUUCCCCAGGACCUGCAGCGGCUGAAGUCCUCUCAGCACCUGCAAUAUCCCAGAGGGCAAAGACAGGGCCAAAUACUGGAUUCUGGAUUCUCUUCAUUGUUGUCCCCCUGCAAGUGGAGAGGUAUCCAGGCUGGGCCUUGUCCUAAGAUAUGACGGAACUGAAUUCUUCCAGCAAGCAUGUGAGCUUGGAAGAGAACACCAUGCGCCACACGAGAAUGCAUACUGGCCAACACCCUGUGCAAAGAUCCAGAGAAGCUGUGCUCAGACUCCUGACUCAUGAAAAUAGUGAACUUAUAAAUGUAUAUUGUUUUAAGAUGCUAAAUUUGUGGUGAUGUGUUACAUGGCAAUAGAAAACUAAUAGAGAUAAAACUUGACAUUUGAAGUGCAUCACAUAAUGAAAUUAGUAGAUGAGAAUCUCUCUAGAAACAAGUAAAAUUUUGAGUUAAAAUGAGAGACUGGACAUAUAAUUCCUCCUCCCUCCAAAAUCCCAGGAAAUGAGUAGUUAAAAAAAUUUUUUUUUAAUUUUACAA